UAAUACGUAGGGUGCAAGCGUUGUCCGGAAUUAUUGGGCGUAAAGAGCUUGUAGGCGGUUUGUCGCGUCUGCUGUGAAAUUUCGGGGCUCAACCCCGAACUUGCAGUGGGUACGGGCAGACUAGAGUGUGGUAGGGGAGACUGGAAUUCCUGGUGUAGCGGUGAAAUGCGCAGAUAUCAGGAGGAACACCGAUGGCGAAGGCAGGUCUCUGGGCCACUACUGACGCUGAGAAGCGAAAGCAUGGGGAGCGAACAGGAUUAGAUACCCUGGUAGUCCAUGCCGUAAACGUUGGGAACUAGGUGUGGGCCUCAUUCCACGAGGUCCGUGCCGCAGCUAACGCAUUAAGUUCCCCGCCUGGGGAGUACGGCCGCAAGGCUA
rnacentral:rRNA from 1 species